GGGGGUAUAGCUCAGUGGGUAGAGCAUUUGACUGCAGAUCAAGAGGUCCCCGGUUUGAAUCUGGGUGCCCCCU
rfam:Pongo abelii chromosome 15.